rnacentral:rRNA from 1 species
CUACGGGGGGCUGCAGUGGGGAAUAUUGGGCAAUGGGCGCAAGCCUGACUCAGCAACGCCGCGUGAGGGAAGAAGGUUUUCGGAUUGUAAACCUCUGUCCUUGGGGACGAAGAAGUGACGGUACCCAAGGAGGAAGCUCCGGCUAACUACGUGCCAGCAGCCGCGGUAAUACGUAGGGAGCAAGCGUUGUCCGGAAUUACCGGGCGUAAAGGGUGCGUAGGCGGCAUAUUAAGUCAGGUGUGAAAUACUCGGGCUCAACCCGGGGGCUGCAUUUGAAACUGAUAUGCUUGAGGUGGGAGAGGAAAGUGGAAUUCCUAGUGUAGCGGUGGAAUGCGUAGAUAUUAGGAGGAACACCAGUGGCGAAGGCGACUUUCUGGCUCAUAACUGACGCUGAGGCACGAAAGCGUGGGGAGCAAACAGGAUUAGAUACCCGCGUAGUC